CCCAGAGACCACGUUUCAUGCCUUAGUGAACCCCCGACUCACUCCUUCGAAGGCCAUCUGUCCUUGAGACAAAAAGACCACUUUUUGGUAAGUUGUGGGGAGGUUUGGUUUGUUUGUUUUUUGGGGGUGAGGGGGUGGGCAGGGGUAUCCGUGUCUCUGGAAAGCCGGCCCCUGUGUUCUCAGGGGUUAUAAAAAUGGGACUCGUUUUUACUGGCAAUCCACGGCCGUAGUGCUGAGACAAAUACAAAUUGGACAGUGUGGAUCCUCAAAGGUGAGAACAUACAGCUGUUGGGAAUUGCGGGAGAAUCUGACCAAUAAAGGAAGUCACUAUUUUUCCAGGCCUAAAGUGAGUUAUAGGGCGAGACGGGUGUUGUAUAUUUAUGUAAGGCAGCGACGGGGAGUUUAAACGGCCGUAUAUUGCCGAAAGAACAUCAUUCACAUUCAGGCCGAGACAAAAGGUGGAAAUGAAGUAACAUCCUGGCCAGAGAAGGGCUCACGACAGAAUAAUAACGUUUCAGAGAGGGGGGCCACGGAGGAGGCCGUGGGUAGGCCUCAAAAUGAGGAAAUGAUCAAAAUGCCUUGUCAGGCCUUCAAAAAACAGUUACACGCGCGCGCGCACACACACGCUCAGGAUUAAGGCCUGGCCAAGCGUCCUUGGGAAGGAAGGUCAUUUAUCUUUCACAGAAACGCGUACACAAUUACUUGCAACCUUCAUCAGUAUAGUCAGCAAGAUAGGUUUGGCAAAAGAACUAGAAAAAAUAUAUAUCAGUACACAUAUUACAGUUGGGACCCCAUUUGGUGUGCAUUAUUAUCAUACACUCUAGCCUCACUGCAUCAGCGUGCAUACUAAUUCAGGACAAUAUUUGAAGGACUAAAGUGGUUCCGGCUGCUCAAGACAUUCAAGGGAAGGGGGUUGGGAGGUGGGGGUGGGGGGGGGAACUGUCUUAUCUCCUGUGUUUAUUUAUUGUGUCCUUUUGUUUAGAGGAAGUUGCAUGGAGAAGAAAGGGAUCAUGAAAUUAUACUCCUGUAAUGGCAAAUGGUGAAAGGGAAACAGACAUUCAUUCCAGAAAAAUAAUCAAAAGAGGACGGGGUGGGGGGGGGGGGGGGGAAAAAAAAAAAAGACUUUUAACGUUCAAAAAAUAUACAUAGCCAGUCUGUGGGACUCUUUGAAAAGGCUGUGCUUCUGUUUGGUAGAAAUGGUCUCCAACAUCCCCUCCCCCCCACGCUAAUUAAGAUGUCAACAUUUUUAAUGGCGAUCACGGUGAAUGUUGCAGAAGCUUUGGUCAUUUUAGCAAAAAAAAAAAAAAAAAACCCACAAAAAACAAAAAACAAACAAAAGAAAACAACCCACCAGGAUAUAAAAUAAGGAUCUCUAGUCACACAGCUUUUGGUUAUUACUAGCUUAGAAUGCUUAUUAAAAUACGGGGUCCUGUGGAACGGGGAUGAAAACAGUCUGUCUUAUCCCUGAGGUUUAUUUAUUUUUGAAACGCAUGUAACAGUUAUGAAAAACUUACAAUUAAAAAGGCUCCAUUCAAAAUGUGUCUGUGACCGGCCACGGACAAGAUUUGAAAAGUCUACCUUAUUAGGACAAAGCGCGAUGAGACGUCACAAUGAUUGUGUGCCAGGGAGACGUAAUUUAAAACCUACAGCACACAUAUACAACCUCAAGCAUCCUUAAAGUUUUAAGGGCAUAGUGGAAUCAUGACAUGGAUAGAUUUGCUUCCAUUUUCUCUUUUCUUUUUCUUUUUUCUCUACCAUUUAGUAACUGCAUGCUAAACUGCCAUUAAAACAAAACAAAACAAAACAAAAACCAGUGGAUCGGAAUGAUUUAAUUUUCUUCUCGGACCCUUUCGAAACCGUAUUAUUUCUCGCUGUUUCAGUCAUGCCUGACGAGUUUGCACAUCCAACCCCAAUAUUAUCGGGACAUGGUAUUUAGCAACCUUUUCAAUAGCCAAAGGCAAGGGAGACUAAGAAUGGACUCUCAGGCUUCCUCCUCUCCCUAUAAAACCAGCAAUUUGCAGAUGGGAACCGCUCAAAAUGCAUUUGCAGGUGAACUUCCUAGGCACAGAGCUGAAGCCACAGAUUUCUAAGAAUGACAACUUCAGCACAUCCGUGAAAUGAUCCUACUUGCCAAUUUCCUAUUUUUCCACAGGGGACAUCUCAAGGGCUGGGGUCAUGCAAAUUCAUUCCUGGCUUCUGAAGCAUCAGGUAAUGGCCAAUGCCAGAGGCGGGAUUCCAAAACCAUUAGCCCAACUGGUCUGAUCCUAUAUGGGAAAACCCGAUACUUGGGCCCCGCACCCCAUCUCCUGGCCUGCCUGCCUAGUACUAAAAAUGCAUCAGUGGAGAAAAUGCUGAAAUAGGUCACGCGCUGAAGCAUAUCCUAGAAGUGUUUGAUGAAAAACAAAUGCCAUUUCCACAGAGUUUGAGCUCCAUUGAGGAAAAUAAUACCUUAAAUACAGAUUGUUCAGUCUCCACUCCUGUGUUUGCUAUAUAUAUAAUACACACACACACACACACACACACACACGUGUAUAUGUAUAGAAAAUCUAUCUGUGAGGAAUUCCUUGAACCAAGAAUCGUUGGUCACACCUGCAGCAUUUCAUUCUAAGAAGCAAUACUGGCAGAGGAAGAAAAUUCUUCCUUUCUUUGGUUUUUCCCUUACAUGUUUGAGGAAGGAAUCAUUAGAACAGUUGCUGGCAUCCGGCAUCCGUGUGUUGUGGUGUGUUGAAAAAAAAAAAAACCCUCCCUUUAAACGCAGAUUUUAACCUUUCCACCUUGGCCUCUUACAUUUUCUUUCCUUUUACUCAAAGCAUUUAGGUAAAUUAGGAUGAGGUCCUUCCAUAAAAAUGCAAGGGGAUCAGUUAAACUUUCAUCUCUAAUUUAUUCAUGAAGAAGUGAGGUCUUGCCUGGUCUUGCUGUGCACCAUCCUGUCAGAACGACUUUCUCUCUCGUUGAGAAGGGAGAUGGAAGGACAGGAAAUCAGAGCUUGGGUUUUGCUAGUAAUUGCGGCCAGGAUAAAAAUGCAGGCGUCUUCUUGCUUGGGGAUGCGAAUGGGGGCAAAAGUUUCAAAACACCAGAACUUGGACCGGAGGAGCAUCUGUAUGUGUGGGAGCGUACAAAUAAAAGCACGAAUUAUAAACAUAAAUAUGUAGCUAUUACGAAUGCAUCAAAUGUAAACACGUGGCUUCUAGAAUCCACCUGUAAGACGCCUAUCGAUUCCACGCCUCUAAACCUAUUCAUCAUCGUGGCGUAGGCACACCAUCGUGUCAACGUACGAGUGGACGCAAAGCAUUUACAACAAUGGAAAACACGCCCGAAUUAAGUUUCCCACACCGUACCAUUUCCAGCUCUGUUUUGUAGUUACAACUUCCCGCGAGCUUGCUAGUGUAGACUGUCCACUUUAAUGAUUCUUGCUCUCAUGCAUAAAGAUGAAGCUCUCUGUUGCCCUGCGUGUGCAGGCAAACACGUGUGCGAGUCGCCCCCACCUUCUUGAACAGGGGCAAGUUCAAAAGAUUUACUCCUCUUUUAAGAAGACCCUCGUUUUCUCUUUCAAAUUUAACUGCGGUGUAACACGUGUAACGUUCGCUCUUAAAAGUUCCUCAUCUUUCUUUUUUCCUUUUUAAAUCAUUUCCUGUGUUUUUUUUUUCCUUUUCCUUCUCCACUUCUGAAUAUAUUUCACAUUUGUAGGCUUGUGGGGAAGGAGCUCAGAGUCUUAUAAUGUGAAAGACCUUAUUCUGGUUGAUGAAUAGGUUCCUCGGUUUUGCCAUUCCCACCCCGGUAUUCAAAAAUUAUCAUCUUUUAUACAUGUGCGAAAGGGAGGGGGGUGGGAUCUGGCAUUAGUUCUUUUAGUCGUCAGGAAAUUACAAAAUGUACACUUGCAAAGUAAGCAAUUUUUGCAGUCGGCCCGCACAUCCAUCUUUUUAAUGAGCCUUGUUUAUAACCUGACGCCAUGUUUCUAGUCACCUACCCUGUUUACGUCUUUGGCCCCUUUAAUUAAGAGAAGAACCAGUUAAAAGAAAGUAAGAAGAAAUAUUAAUAUGAUCUGAUUAAUUCAGCUAGCAGGAGGUUAUGGGGUACCAAGGUUAUUAUAACCUAUAAAGGCAAUGUGAAUAAAGCUGUAUUCAUUUGUAAUUUUAUUAGGCGGAGCAAAUUAGUGAGUCUGCAUAGCAGUGACAAAAGACCCGUUCCUAUUUUUCCUUACCCCCUACUGCAAGGGCCAGGUGCCCAAAGUUAGGCUCCAUAUUAGGCAAAUGAGAUCUGAUACAUCUCAGCUGCACAUCUAAUGAGAACCUCCAGAGCUGGUGCUGUGCUAAUUUGGAAAGAUUAGCUGGGAUGUUUGUGUAUGGCUGGUUAAAGUCCAAUGAAAUAAAAGGAAAGCACAGAGAAAAGGGAGCAAAACCAGCAAAGGGUUAAAGACCUGAAGACAACCGGGGGGGAAGGCCAGAGAGAAUUGAUCAUGGGCAAACUAUUAGAAACAAACUAUCAGGGGCAGUUUGCGGGGUGAAGAGAAAAUUCUGUUUUAGGAGAAACAACCACGGAACCAGUCUCUUUCUAAUAAUAAAACGCAAUAAGGUCCACCCGCCGUGGGGUCCCCCUCGCCUUGAACCUUCCCACCCCAGCCCCUCUGACAUCAGGAGCCCAGCUUUUGUCCACUUUCGUGGAGUCAAAGAAAACUGCAGGGUUUAUCUCCGGGAAGGAUGUGGCGAGCCCUGAUCAGUUAUGGAGUGCUCAAAGGAGAGUAAGACCUUGGAUUGCGAGUAACUUGUUCUGGGAGGGUUCUGCAAGAGGAUCAGACAUUUGUGAUAAAUUUUAACUUGAUAAACGAGCGUUGGCUUGCGAUGGCAGUGGGGUACCUGACACCGAACAUCACAUGAUCACGACUGAACCAACAGUUCUUGAAAUUCGCUUUGAUAUACAAGUGCUUUGGAUUGCAAGCAUGUUUCUGGAAAGAAUUACACUCUUAAACCAAGGUUUGAUUGUAAAAGUAAGUAGGCAUGGUGGGAGUCUUUAAUACAAAGAUCUCGGUAUCCUUCCAGAGAGACAUUCUCUUGGGCUGGUCUGUGGCUUUUGAAAAGAGGCUUCAUUCUUCCAAAAUCCUGAUUUGUUUGGGCCUCUGAUGUAUGAAUUACAGUUUCCCUCAUCUUGCUUUCAUCUCAUCAGUUUUUCUGAACUCAAAUUUCAGAGUCACUGCCAAUCUGGUAUUUGUUCUGGCCUGACUUGGCAUCUCCCGGUGAUGGCUCCAACCCUUACCUGGCCUAUGCCUGACUCGCUGUUACGACCUCAACCCUGAGAACUUGGAGUGUUCCCUUCCACCACAGUCCAGAAAAAGGUUUUGAUUCAGUUAGGGGUAAACUCUGUUAUAUCCUGAAAAUUAAAAUUGAUUGUGACAGUUCUUAGUCUGAUGCAUACCCUAGACAUAGACUCCUAAAGGGCUCAUCUGAGCUCUUAACCAACUCUGAGUCAGAAAAUUCACCUUUUACAUGUAUAUAGUUGUACUUUACUGGAAUAUCGCUGGAAUACUAUCCAAGCUAGUUACAUGUUUGCCUCUGAGAAGGUAACUAGGUACAUAGCGGACAAGGUGGGUUAAGAGAAUUUGUUCGUCAUUCCGUACCUCCUAAAUCGUGAACAUGAAUAUGUUCCCUAUUUAAAUCGAGAUCUUUUCAUGAUUUUUUCAAAGUACAAUCUUUUGCCAAAAAAAGAAAAAAAUUGCCUUUUAUAAGAAACAAAACAAGCAAGCAAAUGGAAAAAAAUAAGAGACAAAUCAAGAAUCAGACUCUUUCUUAAUUAUGGAGAACAAACUGGUGGUUACCCAAGGGGAGGUGGUAGGGGGAUGGGUGAAACGGGUUCAAGUUCAGGAGGACACUAGUCACGAUGAGCGCUGGGCGAUGCCUGCAAUUAUUGAAUCACUCUGUUAUACAGCUGAAACGAACAUAACACUGUAUGUUAACUAAUUUGAAUCAAGAUAAAAACUUCAAAAGAGAAAAGUAGCCUUUUCCCACUAGUACGGCAUCCUAUCGAGUGUACUCUUAGGAGAAGAAAAAAAUCGUAAGUUGGAUAAUAGCAACAACAGAGUCCAAAUAGGUCAUUUCAGAAACCCAACGGAGAAACGAAGGACAUUCAUCUUGAACAGGCAUUUCUAUGGACGAAAUUAUUUGAAUGCUUUACACUGUGUUCAAAACAAAUAUAAAAUAAGUGAAAAAAAUUAAAUAAUAACAAGGAAAUCCUCCCUGGUUGAGGAGAGAAACGACUUCUCAAGAAAAUAAAUCUUUUAUUGGAAAUAAAUGAAAAGACAGAGCAUUAUAUUGGACAUAAGUGUUCUCUCACCUCCAAGUACAACAUAAAGUAGGAGUCCUGAAAAUGCGAAAAAAAAAAAAAAAAACAAUCAUGCAGUGAUCUCUCUUUAUGCAAAAUGCACCUCUAAAGUUUUAAAAAUACAUAUAACGGUUCAUGUAUACGAAUGUGGGAGCAAAUCACACAGUGAACACAUUUAAAUACCUUCCAAACUCUUUGGGAUUUUUCCUCCAGAGCGAUACUCUCCUUUUUUAAAAUGGCUUUCUAUCACUUUUUUGAUAGAAAGUGUACGCGAAAUUGUUACUAUUUACAUAACAUUUCAAUGGCCCCCUGGUUCUCCCCAUCAUCACUUUGCUUCCACUGGUCAGGUGAGAAAUGGUUAAAAACAUCUCCGGAACAGCAGAGCUGAUGCAUCACUUAGAAGAAGCUAAUACUAUCAUAGUAGGGACUCAGGGAAUAUCUAUUGAGUCAAAUAAGUCAAAUAAGUGUUCAAAUGCAUAUCACACACAGCUUGGUAAGGUGACCUGUGGUUUUCAAUCAGAAUCAAUCUUUCUUUCAUCACUGAUGCCGCUGCACUCACGACGUUUGGUUUAUUCUGAGCGACAGGGGUUUAGCGCAGGUCCUCUGGUCAAAAUCCCAGUUCUCUCACUACAUGCUGUGUGUCUUUGGGCAACUGGCUUAAUCUCUCUUUGGCUUCGUCUCCUCGUUUGUACGAUGAAGGAAAUAAUGGUAGCCCUCAGCUCUUGGAGUUACUUCGAGGAUUAAAUGACUUAGUGCCUGUAAAUCACUUCGAAAAGUAUUUGACAUAUGGCAGUCCUUGAUAAACGUCAGCUAGAGUUACCAUUUUACCUUUUAUUUUGGGUACAGCUUUUAUAGCAGUCUCUCCCCAACUUGUGAAGCCCGUUGGAGAGAGGGGCUGGCUUCUUCAGCUCCCUGGUACCUCUGUGCCUAGCACAAAAGCCCUACCUCAAAAGUGGGACUCGAGACAUGCUGACAUUUUCUACACUGCAUGGGGGUAACAGUCGUUGAAACGAUCCUGCUUAGAACCCGUCUUUCCCUCUCCACUUAGUUCUUGGGUUUUCCCUCUUAAUCUUCUGUUUUCAACAGCCGCAACGGAGCAGCCAAUAACUACCAGACAAGACCACGUGGAAGCUUGAGUGUUAAGUGCCAUGUAUUACAAUACUGAUAAAAUGUUGACUUUGUGUUAGUAUCUGUGGGCUACAACAGGUGCCAUGAACGUUGGUACCCUUACUCUCUCUCUCUCUCUCUCUUUCUCAAGAAAAAGAUGCCAUUGUUGGUGUGCGAAUCCUGGAAGGAGCCAGGAUUUGGGAAAAUUGUCUCUGCCACCUUCUAAGCUACUCUUCAUAUCAAGUAAAACCCAACUCAUGGGAUUGGGACACGUUUUGGUGAGAUAAAAUAUGUAAAAUACCCAGUAUUCCGUAAAUGAUAACUAUUGUUACAAUCCUCGUUUGCAGAAAAAUUCACCUCAGAGGGUUCCCAUAGGCAUAAAAGACUUCAAGCAAACAUCAUUUGGUAAUAGUUGCACUCGUCGUUGGUAAUAGUGCUUUGAUUGGAAGGAUUCUGAGUCGGAGCCCACACUCGGGGGACUGGGUCUGUCAUCUGGAAGCAAUCGUGCCUCGUGCCCUGUCCAGGAAGGGUCAGCACUGUCCUAUGCUUUUUCCACAUAGACGGCAAGGAUCUUUCCAAAGAUUCCAAGCCCCCUGGAUUCUCUCGGAGAUCUGAUGAAGCCUCUGAACCUGUCUUAGAAAAAAUGAUUUUAAGUCAAUAAUGUAAAAUGCACUUUAAAAGACGGCCAUUAAAGGGGUGCCUGGGUGGCUCAGUUGGUGAAGCAUCCGACUUCGGCUCGGGUCACGAUCUCACAGUUCGUGAGUUCGAGCCCCACGUCGGGCUCCGUGCUGACAGCUCAGAGCCUGGAGCCUGCUUCGGAUUCUGUGUGUGUGUGUCUCUCUCUGCCCCUCCCCUGCUCUCUCUCUCUCUCUCUCAAAAAGAAAUAAAACAUAAUAAAAAAUUAAAAAAUAAGAUACAAUCAUUAAAAUGCUGAUACGACCAACUCAUAGUGUCAUAAUAUCAUAUGUGCUUCUUUAUUAACGUAGUAAAUAACAAGAUCCAGUGACAGGUCUCAUACCUAUCAUCCUGUUAAAGAUGUAUUGAACAAACAUGACACUGUGAUGGAUCUGUGGCAUAUUUAAUGUAAUAGAAUUGUAUCCAUCCCUUGGUGCAAAAUCAUAUGUAUUCUUAAUACUGUUACCAUGUUUUAUCCACAUUCAUAAUGAA
rnacentral:lncRNA from 1 species